rnacentral:rRNA from 1 species
AGGUGCGAUCAUACCAGGGUUAAUGCAUAGUAUCCCAUCAGAACUCCGCAGUUAAGUGCGCUUUGGCUAGAGUAGAACUGGGAUGGGUGACCUCCCAGGAAGUCCUAGUGUUGCACCCU